rnacentral:rRNA from 1 species
GGAGCUCUCCCAUAUGGUCGACCUGCAGGCGGCCGCGAAUUCACUAGUGAUUCGUAUUACCGCGGCUGCUGGCACGUAGUUAGCCGGUGCUAUUCUUCAGGUACCGUCAUUAGCAAGGGAUAUUAGCCCUCACCGUUUCUUCCCUGACAAAAGAGCUUUACAACCCGAAGGCCUUCUUCACUCACGCGGCAUUGCUGGAUCAGGCUUGCGCCCAUUGUCCAAAAUUCCCCACUGCUGCCUCCCGUAGGAGUCUGGACCGUGUCUCAGUUCCAGUGUGGCUGGUCGUCCUCUCAGACCAGCUACUGAUCGAUGCCUUGGUAGGCCUUUACCCCACCAACUAGCUAAUCAGAUAUCGGCCGCUCCAGGAGCACAAGGCCUUGCGGUCCCCUGCUUUCAUCCUUAGAUCGUAUGCGGUAUUAGCGUAACUUUCGCUACGUUAUCCCCCACUCCAGGGUACGUUCCGAUAUAUUACUCACCCGUUCGCCACUCGCCGCCAGGUUGCCCCGCGCUGCCGUUCGACUUGCAUGUGUAAGGCAUGCCGCCAGCGUUCAAUCUGAGCCAUGAUCAAACUCUAAUCGAAUUCCCGCCGCCGCCGAUGGCGGCCGGGAGCAUGCGAC